UACGUAGGGCGCAAGCGUUAUCCGGAAUUAUUGGGCGUAAAGAGCUCGUAGGCGGUUCGUCACGUCGGGCGUGAAAACUCGGAGCUUAACUCCGAGCCUGCUUCCGAUACGGGCAGACUAGAGGUAGGUAGGGGAGAAUGGAAUUCCUGGUGUAGCGGUGAAAUGCGCAGAUAUCAGGAGGAACACCGGUGGCGUAGGCGGUUCUCUGGGCCUUACCUGACACUGAGGAGCGAAAGCGUGGGGAGCGAACAGG
rnacentral:rRNA from 1 species